rnacentral:lncRNA from 1 species
UUAAAGUUUAAUGGCCCAUAUUGUACUCCCUCAUUCACGACCACAAUUAGAUCAUGGUCAAUAUAAAUCAUAAUUGGCAAAAUAGUAUAUGGUGGAGGAAAAGAGAAGAAACGGAAGUUUGAUAGGCUGAAAUAGAGAGGAAGGGACGUGUGAGCGGUGGAAGGAUGGAGAUAAGAGCUCUUUUGACACUCACGAACAUCGACGCAAUACGAAGUAGUUGAGUUAUUUGCUUCAUGAUUUGCAUGUUACUCGUUUGCAUUUACUAUGAUAAUUCUUUUACAAUGAAAAUUGCUAAAAAUCCAAUUUUUCACGAGCGUACAAAAUAUAUUAAGAUUGAUUGUCAUGUGGUUCGACAAAAGAUUGUUAAAUAAUUUAUUCGUUUGUUAUUUGUUUCAUAUCGUACCUUUAUCUUCUUCCCAAUUUCAAGAUGCAAUACCUAAGUUGGGUAUUCAAAGUUUGUAUACUCCAGCUUAGGGGAGGGGGCUAUUUGGAUAUGUGGCAAUUUUGUAAUUUUAUAAAGGAUUCUUUUGUGUAAUUACUUUUAGUUUUGGGGUUCUUAUAUGAAUAAUCAUAAGCUACCAUGUAUAAAUACCAUAAUUUUCCUAAUUCAAUAUCAGCAAAAAAUUUCUUCUUCUUCUUAGAUUUCACCAAAUCACUGUGAUUUCAUUAUUUGUUUGCAC